AUUGAACGCUGGCGGCAGGCCUAACACAUGCAAGUCGAGCGGAUGAAGGGAGCUUGCUCCUGGAUUCAGCGGCGGACGGGUGAGUAAUGCCUAGGAAUCUGCCUGGUAGUGGGGGAUAACGUCCGGAAACGGGCGCUAAUACCGCAUACGUCCUGAGGGAGAAAGUGGGGGAGCUUCGGACCUCACGCUAUCAGAUGAGCCUAGGUCGGAUUAGCUAGUUGGUGGGUUAAAGGCCUACCAAGGCGACGAUCCGUAACUGGUCUGAGAGGAUGAUCAGUCACCCUGGAACUGAGACACGGUCAAGACUACUAAGGGAGGCAGCAGUGGGGGAUAUUGGACAAUGGGCGAAAGCAUGAUCCAGUCAUGCCGCGUGUGUGAAGAAGGUCUUCGGAUUGUAAAGCACUUUAAGUUGGGAGGAAGGGCAGUAAGUUAAUACCUUGCUGUUUUGACGUUAACAACAGAAUAAGCACCGGCUAACUUCGUG
rnacentral:rRNA from 1 species